CCUACGGGAGGCAGCAGUGAGGAAUAUUGGUCAAUGGGCGCGAGCCUGAACCAGCCAAGUAGCGUGAAGGAUGACUGCCCUACGGGUUGUAAACUUCUUUUAUAAAGGAAUAAAGUGAGGCACGUGUGCCUUUUUGUAUGUACUUUAUGCAUAAGGAUCGGCUACCUCCUGGCCAGCAGCCGCGUUAAUACGGAGGAUCCGAGCGUUAUCCGGAUUUAUUGGGUUUAAAGGGAGCGUAGAUGGGUUGUUAAGUCGGUUGUGAAAGGUUGCGGCUCAACCGUAAAAUUGCAAUGGAUACUGGCAGUCUUGAGUACAGUUGAGGUAGGCGGAAUUCGUGGUGUAGCGGUGAAAUGCUUAGAUAUCACGAAGAACUCCGAUUGCGAAGGCAGCUUACUAAACUGCCACUGACAUUGAUGCUCGAAAGUGUGGGUAUCAAACAGGAUUAGAUACCCGAGUAGUC
rnacentral:rRNA from 1 species